rnacentral:lncRNA from 1 species
GGUACAUAUGAGCUCACAGAAACUGAUGCAGCAAUACCAGGUCUACAUGGGACUGAACCAGAUAUCUGUAUAUACAUUAUAGCUCAAUAUUUUCAUAGGACUCUUGACUGAGAAUGGUGUUGUGCCAUGGGUGUUGCGUCUCCUGGAACUGGAAUUACAGAUAGUUGUAAGCUGCCAUGUGGGUGCUGAGAAUUGAAACUGGGUCCUCUGGAAGAGCAGAUUUCUCUGCGCUGGACUGGGAGGAAAGAGGUAGACCUGCGGAGUUGCUGAGGAAUGACCUAUCCACUCUGUGUCGGAGCUUCCAGGCUGAAGCUAAUGACAGAUUGAAGCGCAACUAAAACCGGAAAUCACCUCGUGUGGGUGUUUCGAGGUAUUUGAUUGUCCUGUGAAAAAGUGUCACUCUGAUUGGUUUAAUAAAAAACUGAACAGCCAAUAGCUAAGCAGGAUUUCCAGGCACAGAUGACCAGUGGUAAAAAGGUAAAGGAGGAGCUGCGAAGAGACCCAGGAAGCAAGAAAGCAGGAUUGACAUUAUGAAGAUGAGGUAAAUGAGCCUCCAGGCAGCACAUAGAUUAAUAGAAAUGGGUUAAUUUAAGUUGUAGGAGCU